UGCACAUCUUUCCAUGCAGACACAAUGUCGACCUACAAGGUGACCAUAUAUAGUGUUGCUGAGACAACGGACAAAAUUCACCUGAUGCUGAUGGACUCAUGGCAUCAGAGCAGUAAAAAAAUUGCCUUUUCACCUUCUGAAACGGAGAUCUCCUUCAACAUCUGUGUGAAGAAGAACCUUGGAGACAUUGUCCAGGUGAAACUUCAAAAACAGAAACAUGUCAAUUAUCCAUGGUUUUGUAAGCAUAUCAAAGUGCAGACACCC